UGUAGUAUCUGUUCUUUUUAGUUUAAUAUCUGAUACCUCCUCUAUGUGAGGACAGUACAUUAAACAGAUGUUUGAGAUUAGGAAUUGGAAUAGGAGCUUGCUCAAUUCACUUCACCCAUUGACCUGG
rnacentral:snRNA from 1 species